CAGUUUAAACUUUAUGAAGCCGCGCAAAUAAUACAGUUGCUUUCGAUUACGGCUGCAAUCAAUGCGAAGGGCAAAAGUAAUUAGUCAAAGGCCACUGACACCAAUUAACGCAAAACAAAGCGCAGUGAAACUCUUUAAGACGAUUACCAAAUCAAACUCGAUCAAAUUGAAAACGAAAAUCUACGCAAUGCCGGAAGGUCAAAGAAAUCCAAUCUCGACCCUUCCAAUGACAACCGCAAUUAACCAGAUGCAGAGGUUGAUAAAAGUGUGAUUGCUAAUUAAAGUUGACACAGAAACGCCAAUGGUGAAUUCAAAAUCUUCAUUUAUUCCGUCACGCCUGGGCUCUUGCAUUUAAGUUUAAAUGAUUGACUCUGUUUCAAUUUAGCUCAACAAGAAUGCAGCAGUUGAACGAAUUGCAACAAGAUUAUUUGAUUGUGAGAAAAUUUUAUGCUUUCCACAUUCCGAUAUCUGUAGCCGGGAAAACUGUUAGUGUGUUAUUUAAAGCCACAGAGGGAAGUCCUGUGAUGAAUAAAACGCGUCAAGGUCGAAUGAAUCAACUGGGUGGGGUUUUUAUUAACGGGAGACCUCUUCCCAAUCACAUCCGGCUGAAGAUCGUGGAGAUGGCGGCGGCGGGCGUGAGGCCCUGCGUCAUCUCACGCCAGCUGCGCGUCUCGCACGGAUGCGUCUCCAAGAUCCUCAAUAGAUAUCAGGAAACUGGUUCCAUCCGCCCUGGUGUGAUCGGAGGAUCUAAACCGAGAGUGGCGACGCCUGAAGUUGAAAACAGGAUCGAAGAGCUCAAGAGACAAAACCCAGGUAUAUUUUCCUGGGAAAUUAGAGAUAAACUUAUAAAAGAAGGAAUCUGUGAUAAAAACACUGCACCGUCAGUCAGUUCCAUAUCGAGGCUUAUAAGAGGAGGCAAAAGGGACGAAUCAGAUCCUAGGAGAAAUCACAGCAUUGAUGGUAUUCUAGGACCCUCAUCUUGCGAAGACUCCGACACUGAAUCAGAACCUGGAAUUACGUUAAAAAGGAAGCAACGACGAUCUCGAACAACUUUUUCUGGUGAUCAGCUCGAAGCCUUGGAGAGAGCGUUCACAAGGACCCAGUAUCCCGACGUUUACACCAGGGAAGAGCUUGCUCAGAAAACCAAAUUAACUGAAGCCAGAGUUCAGGUAUGGUUUUCGAACAGAAGAGCUCGUCUACGCAAGCAACUCAACUCUCAACAACUCAGUGCCUUUAAUACGAUGUCCUUACAAUCCGCUUUCCCGUCAGUCCACCAGCAAUACGAACCUCCAAGUAGCUUCAAUGCUCAGUGCGCUUCUUGGCAGCAGUCAUAUUCCUCCGCACUGGGUUCAAGCUCCGUUCUGAACUCCGCCUUGGCUCCAUCUUUACAUCAAUCUGCUUUGACGCCAUCAGUUUGUCAGUCAGCAUUAGCUGCUUCAUCCUUACACCCUCCUACCUCAAGUUCGUUCACAUCAGGAAACCUGACUCCGCUUUCCCACUCCUCCGAACUUGCCACGCCUCUUCAAGUCGCAGCAGAUGCUACACCUCCCAGUUCGAGUCCCACUGCCUCUAGUCCAUCAGUAAACCAGAGUGGUGGGAUAACCUACCAGCACCCCACAUAUGCGAGUCCGAGCGACCCUAUAUCCCACCCUUAUGGCUAUGGGGACUACGCGAAACAAGAUCAUGCCAUGUCCGCACAUAAUCACUGGACCUCGAGACAGCUUAGCGGACAUGGCUCGAACAAAUUAGCCGAAGUCGGUGCAUGGCCAGAAAAUUAUAGCGUUUGGCGAGGAGGAACAAGCUACUAGACGCAUAGGUGAACUCAUUGACGAAGGUACUAGAGUAGCAAAACAACCGGUGGCUAUCAGGAGCGGGGAGCUCGAUCGCAAAUCGGGUUCAUUCUUCGGCACGAAUGCUCACUACGCGUCGCACGCGCACUCGCCCGGCGAGGCAAAGUCCGGGUACCCGUACUUAGGACAACUCGGCGGUAUGGAUAUGGGCAGAGUUCAUUAACUUUCUUCAAAAAUAU